UUUGAUGGCGACCGGCGCACGGUGAGUAACACGUAUCCAACCUGCCGAUAACUCGGGGAUAGCCUUUCGAAAGAAAGAUUAAUACCCGAUGGCAUAAUAGAACCGCAUGGUUGAUUAUUAAAGAAUUUCGGUUAUCGAUGGGGAUGCGUUCCAUUAGGCAGUUGGUGGGGUAACGGCCCACCAAACCUUCGAUGGAUAGGGGUUCUGAGAGGAAGGUCCCCCACAUUGGAACUGAGACACGGUCCAAACUCCUACGGGAGGCAGCAUG
rnacentral:rRNA from 1 species